rnacentral:rRNA from 1 species
GAUGAACGCUGGCGGCGUGCCUAAUACAUGCAAGUCGAGCGAACAGACGAGGAGCUUGCUCCUCUGACGUUAGCGGCGGACGGGUGAGUAACACGUGGAUAACCUACCUAUAAGACUGGGAUAACUUCGGGAAACCGGAGCUAAUACCGGAUAAUAUAUUGAACCGCAUGGUUCAAUAGUGAAAGACGGUUUUGCUGUCACUUAUAGAUGGAUCCGCGCCGCAUUAGCUAGUUGUUAAGGUAACGGCUUACCAAGGCAACGAUGCGUAGCCGACCUGAGAGGGUGAUCGGCCACACUGGAACUGAGACACGGUCCAGACUCCUACGGGAGGCAGCAGUAGGGAAUCUUCCGCAGUGGGCGAAAGCCUGACGGAGCAACGCCGCGUGAGUGAUAAAGGUCUUCGGAUCGUAAAACUCUGUUAUUAGGGAAGAACAAAUGUGUAAGUAACUAUGCACGUCUUGACGGUACCUAAUCAGAAAGCCACGGCUAACUACGUG